rnacentral:rRNA from 1 species
AUGAACGCUGGCGGCGUGCCUAAUACAUGCCAGUCGAGCGAACAGACGAGGAGCUUGCUCCUCUGACGUUAGCGGCGGACGGGUGAGUAACACGUGGAUAACCUACCUAUAAGACUGGGAUAACUUCGGGAAACCGGAGCUAAUACCGGAUAAUAUAUUGAACCGCAUGGUUCAAUAGUGAAAAACGGUUUUGCCGUCACUUAUAGAUGGAUCCGCGCCGCAUUAGCUAGUUGGUAAGGUAACGGCUUACCAAGGCAACGAUGCGUAGCCGACCUGAGAGGGUGAUCGGCCACACUGGAACUGAGACACGGUCCAGACUCCUACGGGAGGCAGCAGUAGGGAAUCUUCCGCAAUGGGCGAAAGCCUGACGGAGCAACGCCGCGUGAGUGAUGAAGGUCUUCGGAUCGUAAAACUCUGUUAUUAGGGAAGAACAAAUGUGUAAGUAACUAUGCACGUCUUGACGGUACCUAAUCAGAAAGCCACGGCUAACUACGUG